rnacentral:rRNA from 1 species
AGACGUCAAUCAUCAUGCCCCUUAUGUCCUGGGCUACACACGUAAUACAAUGGCGGUCAACAGAGGGAUGCAAAGCCGUAAGGCGGAGCGAACCCCUAAAAGCCGUCCCAGUUCAGAUUGUGGGCUGCAACCCGCCCACAUGAAGUCGGAAUCGCUAGUAAUCGCGGAUCAGCAUGCCGCGGUGAAUACGUUCCCGGGCCUUGUACACACCGCCCGUCACACCAUGAGAGUCGGGAACACCCGAAGUCCGUAGCCUAACCGUAAGGAGGGCGCGGCCGAAGGUGGGUUCGAUAAUUGGGGUGAAGUCGUAACAAGGGUAACCGUAUA